rnacentral:rRNA from 1 species
AGAGACAGCAGCAGCCACGGUAAUACGUAGGUGGCAAGCGUUGUCCGGAAUUAUUGGGCGUAAAGGGCCCGCAGGCGGUUUCUUAAGUCUGAUGUGAAAGCCCCCGGCUCAACCGGGGAGGGUCAUUGGAAACUGAGAAACUUGAGUGCAGAAGAGGAGAGUGGAAUUCCACGUGUAGCGGUGAAAUGCGUAGAGAUAUGGAGGAACACCAGUGGCGAAGGCGACUCUCUGGUCUGUAACUGACGCUGAGGAGCGAAAGCGUGGGGAGCGAACAGGAUUAGAGACCCCCGUAGUCCCUGUCUCUUAUAC